rnacentral:rRNA from 1 species
GAUGAACGCUGGCGGCGUGCUUAACACAUGCAAGUCGAACGGUGAACACGGAGCUUGCUCUGUGGGAUCAGUGGCGAACGGGUGAGUAACACGUGAGCAACCUGCCCCUGACUCUGGGAUAAGCGCUGGAAACGGCGUCUAAUACUGGAUAUGUGACGUGACCGCAUGGUCUGCGUUUGGAAAGAUUUUUCGGUUGGGGAUGGGCUCGCGGCCUAUCAGCUUGUUGGUGAGGUAAUGGCUCACCAAGGCGUCGACGGGUAGCCGGCCUGAGAGGGUGACCGGCCACACUGGGACUGAGACACGGCCCAGACUCCUACGGGAGGCAGCAGUGGGGAAUAUUGCACAAUGGGCGCAAGCCUGAUGCAGCAACGCCGCGUGAGGGAUGGCGGCCUUCGGGUUGUAAACCUCUUUUAGCAGGGAAGAAGCGAAAGUGACGGUACCUGCAGAAAAAGCGCCGGCUAACUACGUG